UACGAAGGGGGCUAGCGUUGCUCGGAAUUACUGGGCGUAAAGGGCGCGUAGGCGGAUGUCUAAGUCAGAGGUAAAAGCCCAGGGCUCAACCUUGGAACUGCCUUUGAUACUGGACAUCUUGAGUACGGGAGAGGUGAGUGGAACUCCGAGUGUAGAGGUGAAAUUCGUAGAUAUUCGGAAGAACACCAGUGGCGAAGGCGACUCACUGGCCCGUUACUGACGCUGAGGCGCGAAAGCGUGGGGAGCAAACAGG
rnacentral:rRNA from 1 species